GGAGUGUGGCUCAGUGGUAGAGCACGUGCUUAGCAUAUAUGAGGCCCUGAGUUCAAUCCCCAGUACCA
rnacentral:tRNA from 1 species